GUGCCAGCAGCCGCGGUAAUACGUAGGGGGCAAGCGUUGUCCGGAUUUAUUGGGCGUAAAGAGCGUGUAGGCGGCUUUACAGGUCUGUUGUGAAAACUCGAGGCUCAACCUCGAGACGCCGGUGGAAACCUUAAAGCUAGAGUCCGGAAGAGGAGAGUGGAAUUCCUGGUGUAGCGGUGAAAUGCGCAGAUAUCAGGAGGAACACCAACGGCGAAGGCAGCUCGCUGGGACGGUACUGACGCUGAGGCGCGAAAGCGUGGGGAGCGAACAGGAUUAGAUACCCUGGUAGUCCACGCCGUAAACGAUGGAUGCUAGCCGUUGGUAAGCAUGCUUAUCAGUGGCGCAGCUAACGCAUUAAGCAUCCCGCCUGGGGAGUACGGCCGCAAGGUUGAAACUCAAAGGAAUUGACGG
rnacentral:rRNA from 1 species